rnacentral:rRNA from 1 species
GAAAAGCUUGCUUUUGCUGACGACCGGCGCACGGGUGCGUAACGCGUAUGCAACCUACCUCAUACUGGAGGAUAGCCCCUGGAAACGGGGAUUAAUACUCCAUAGUAUCACAAUUUCGCAUGUUAUUGUGAUUAAAGUUUUUCGGUAUGAGAUGGGCAUGCGUCCCAUUAGCUUGUUGGUGAGGUAACGGCUCACCAAGGCAACGAUGGGUAGGGGGCCUGAGAGGGUGGUCCCCCACACUGGUACUGAGACACGGACCAGACUCCUACGGGAGGCGGCAGUGAGGAAUAUUGGUCAAUGGAGGAAACUCUGAACCAGCCAUGCCGCGUGAAGGAUGACGGCCCUAUGGGUUGUAAACUUCUUUUAUAGAGGAAGAAACUUGUCUACGUGUAGACAACUGACGGUACUCUACGAAUAAGGAUCGGCUAACUCCGUGCCAGCAGCCGCGGUAAUACGGAGGAUCCAAGCGUUAUCCGGAUUCAUUGGGUUUAAAGGGUCCGUAGGCGGAUUUUUAAGUCAGUGGUGAAAGCCGACAGCUCAACUGUCGAACUGCCAUUGAUACUGGAAAUCUUGAGUACAAAUGAAGUAGGCGGAAUGAGUCAUGUAGCGGUGAAAUGCAUAGAUAUGACUCAGAACACCGAUUGCGAAGGCAGCUUACUAACAUGUAACUGACGCUGAGGGACGAAAGCGUGGGGAGCGAACAGGAUUAGAUACCCUGGUAGUCCACGCCGUAAACGAUCAUCACUCGCUGUUGGCGAUAUACUGUCAGCGGCCAAGCGAAAGUAUUAAGUGAUGCACCUGGGGAGUACGCCGGCAACGGUGAAACUCAAAGGAAUUGACGGGGGCCCGCACAAGCGGUGGAGCAUGUGGUUUAAUUCGAUGAUACGCGAGGAACCUUACCAGGGCUUAAAUGUAGUCUGACCGGCUUGGAAACAGGCCUUCUCUUCGGAGCAGAUUACAAGGUGCUGCAUGGUUGUCGUCAGCUCGUGCCGUGAGGUGUUAGGUUAAGUCCUGCAACGAGCGCAACCCCUAUUCUUAGUUGCCAGCGGUUCGGCCGGG